AACGAACGCUGGCGGCAGGCUUAACACAUGCAAGUCGAACGCCCCGCAAGGGGAGUGGCAGACGGGUGAGUAACGCGUAGGAAUCUACCUAGUUCUACGGAACAACUGAGGGAAACUUCAGCUGAUACCGUAUACGCCCUAAGGGGGAAAGAUUUAUCGGAAUUAGAUGAGCCCGCGUUGGAUUAGCUAGUUGGUGGGGUAAUGGCCUACCAAGGCGACUAUCUAUAGCUGGUCUGAGAGGAUGAUCAGCCACACUGGGACUGAGACACGGCCCAGACUCCUACGGGAGGCAGCAGUGGGGAAUAUUGGACAAUGGGCGCAAGCCUGAUCCAGCCAUGCCGCGUGAGUGAUGAAGGCCUUAGGGUUGUAAAGCUCUUUCAGUGGGGACGAUAAUGACGGUACCCACAGAAGAAGCCCCGGCUAACUUCGUGCCAGCCGCCGCCGUAACAC
rnacentral:rRNA from 1 species